UAUAUCUUGGCUGAUCUGAAGCUAUUAAGACGACUCUUCAGAGCAUUUAUAAGAACUGAAAGUGAUAUUUGUGUGCACAUUACUGUCAUCAUCUUCCCUCCAGCUCUUCUGCAUGUCGUACUCCUGUUCCAGGGUCAGUGGCUCUGAAGCAGUCAGCUGCUGCAGCUCAGGAGACUUCAUCCACUCAUGAUACCUGAUACAAAAGACACGGAAAGGACUGAAUGGCUCGGCCCAGUCCGUGCCACAGUUCGACCGGCUCCUGUGGCGUGUUAACCAUGUCCAUCCAGUGCUGCAGCUGCGGGCCCCUGGCAUACAUGAAGGGACCCAACACCAGCACUCCUAGCAGGGCCGGAGGCUCUGGGAGAACAAUAAAGACAGAGCCAAGCCAAGGUCCCUCCAGAGCACCCUGCCGGCCUGACCGAGCUCCCCCUCCAGAGGAAACAGCACCCUGCCCACCGCGUGGCGUUUGCCGUCUUGCUCCACACUCAGCACACACACGCUCAGGGUGCUCUGAGGCACACACACACCUGACACCUGCAGAAGGAAACAGGAAGUAUUUGAGAUACAAAUUGUUCUUUCGUCUCUAAGGUUGCACCUUUUUUUAAGUGUCCUCGCCUGGAAAACGAAGCAGUCGCAGAACUCGGGGUCGGGCCCCGUGCGCCGGGCCUUGGCCUGGCGGGGCCGCCGGUCGUCAGGGAGAAGCCGGAGCUCCACCAGCAUGAUGUUGCCAUGAAAACGGGGAGGGAGGUUGCCGAGGCGGAGCAAGGAGACCAUGAGCUGCUCGCAGCUGUGUCGGUACUCCACAGAGAAGCAGAGACGGGUGGCCAUGCCGGGAGGAGGUGCCACCACCUCGUUCAGAGGAGGAACUGAGUAGAGACCGGCCAGCACCGUCCCCACUGGGUACCAUCCUGAUGGAGACAGUAACAGCAAUAUAGAAAGUAGAUCACAUUAGUUAGUACAUGUAUUAUUCUUGAAUUAAGGUUUUAAAUUACUUUAAAUGUACUCAAAGGGACUAUAACCAUUUACACAUGCUGUCAAAUAAAGGCAGUAAUGACCUACUCCUUACUGUGAGUGACCCACGAUGGGCUAGUAUGUCCCUUCGGUCCUCCUCUUCUUCUUUCUCCUCCUCAUUUUUUAGGUUACCAUGGUUUUGUGCCGUGAAGCGAGGAGGCAAGGUAAAAGGGAUCUCACAGGGCCUUCCACACAGACAGAGACAAAUGUUAUUAAUUGUGGCUAUUUGCAGCUUUUUUCAAUAUCAACUUAAUUGUGAUAUAUAUAUAUAUAUUAAAAUCAAGACUACAAGUCCUGUAAACCCUGAUGCUUCCAAGCAAUGGAUGAUGUUCUUCAGCAAAGGGACUUUUUCUUAGAAGUAGCAACAUGUUUCAGAGGAUCAUUCCAUACUUUUGUCAUUGCUUCAGUCCAUUUUGUUUUUAAAACAACUGCUGGUUUCGUUUGCCUUUAAGAAAUCCAGCAAGGUGUAUCACAUAAUUUGACCUGAAGAAACUCAACUCUCUCUUCCUUCUUCAUCUUCUUCCCCAUUUUUCUCCUCAAUCUUCAUGUAAAGUCUGAAAUGUGAUAUAAAAGCUUGCUUUGCCUCUGUUGGCCAGAACUGAUUUAAAACCAUUAGUAUUGUUUAUGUAUUUUUUAAGCAGUAAAGUUGUUGACCAUAUAUUUGCAACAUCUCCAGUUUGAGUCCAGCUGGGGACCUUUUUUGGCAUUUCAAACCUCCUCUCAUCUCAUUCCUGUUGGCUCUCUACUGUACAAUUUCUAAUAAAAAAGGCAAAAGAAAUAGUUCAAUGGGAUCAAAUACAACUUUUGUACUGUUCCACAAAAUGUAAUAAAUAUACCUUUGAAAGAAAGAAUGAAUAAACAGUAAGAGAAAAGCACUA